CCUUUAAGGGAUAAAGGUUGAUCUGACUCUGGGGAAAUAGAGUCAGGCCUGAAGUGUCCCUUUAAGGGUUAAAGGUUGAUCUGACUCUGGGGAAAUAGAGUCAAGGCCUGAAGUGUCCCUUUAAGGGUUAAAGGUUGAUCUGACUCUGGGGAAAUAGAGUCAGGCCUGAAGUGUCCCUUUAAGGGUUAAAGGUUGAUCUGACUCUGGGGAAAUAGAGUCAAGGCCUGAAGUGUCCCUUUAAGGGUUAAAGGUUGAUCUGACUCUGGGGAAAUAGAGUCAGGCCUGAAGUGUCCCUUUAAGGGUUAAAGGUUGAUCUGACUCUGGGGAAAUAGAGUCAAGGCCUGAAGUGUCCCUUUAAGGGUUAAAGGUUGAUCUGACUCUGGGGAAAUAGAGUCAAGGCCUGAAGUGUCCCUUUAAGGGUUAAUAAAUUACUUUAAUCAAGAGGUUUAUACUGUACAUUACAUCUGUCACCAAAUUGAAAUAAAAGGCAUCGGACUGAGGUCA